rnacentral:lncRNA from 1 species
AUACUGGUCGUUCAAGAGGGUAUGGUUUUGUAAGGUUUGGAGACGAUAAUGAGAGGUCGCAAGCAAUGACUGAAAUGAAUGGCGUCUAUUGUUCAAGUAGGCCCAUGCGAAUUGGUGCAGCCACACCACGGAAAUCAUCUGGAUACCUACAACACUAUUCUUCACUAGGUAAAAACUAAUUCUAGGUCUCCUACGUGGCUUUGGUUCUGAAUACCUUUUCGUCUCUGUUUGAUCUGAACAAGUGAAUGCUGAAUCUCUACUGGGUGGAAGGGAAAAAAGGAGAUGUGAUCCUACUUUCUUUUUAUAGUUUUUCUUUUAG